rnacentral:rRNA from 1 species
CCUACGGGAGGCUGCAGUGGGGGAUAUUGCACAAUGGGGGAAACCCUGAUGCAGCGACGCCGCGUGAGUGAAGAAGUAAUUCGGUACGUAAAGCUCUAUCAUCAGGGAAGAAAAUGACGGUACCUGAGUAAGAAGCCCCGGCUAACUACGUGCCAGCAGCCGCGGUAAUACGUAGGGGGCAAGCGUUAUCCGGAUUUACUGGGUGUAAAGGGAGCGUAGACGGUGCUGCAAGUCUGGAGUGAAAUGCCGCGGCUGAACCCCGGGACUGCUUUGGAAACUGGGGAACUGGAGUGCAGGAGGGGCAGGCGGAAUUCCUGGUGUAGCGGUGAAAUGCGUAGAUAUUAGGAGGAACACCGGUGGCGAAGGCGGCUUGCUGGACCGUAACUGACGUUGAGGCUCGAAAGCGUGGGGAGCGAACAGGAUUAGAUACCCGAGUAGUC